UUGAACGCUGGCGGCAUGCUUUACCCAUGCAAGUCGAACGGUAACAGGCCUUCGGGUGCUGACGAGUGGCGAACGGGUGAGUAAUGCAUCGGAACGUACCCAGAGGUGGGGGAUAACGCAGCGAAAGCUGUGCUAAUACCGCAUGUGAUCUGAGGAUGAAAGCGGGGGACCGAGCAGCAAUGUUUGGCCUCGCGCCUUUGGAGCGGCCGAUGUCGGAUUAGCUAGUUGGUGGGGUAAAGGCCUACCAAGGCGACGAUCCGUAGCUGGUCUGAGAGGACGACCAGCCACACUGGGACUGAGACACGGCCCAGACUCCUACGGGAGGCAGCAAUGGGGAAUUUUGGACAAUGGGCGCAAGCCUGAUCCAGCAAUGCCGCGUGCGGGAAGAAGGCCUUCGGGUUGUAAACCGCUUUUGGCAGGAACGAAACGGUGUCCGCUAAUACCGGGCGCUAAUGACGGUACCUGCAGAAUAAGCACCGGCUAACUACGU
rnacentral:rRNA from 1 species